GAUGAACGCUGACAGAAUGCUUAACACAUGCAAGUCUUUGGCGAAGCUGUGCUCGCACAGCCUAGCCAAGGCGGACGGGUGAGUAACGCGUAAGGAACUUGCCCUGCAGUCAGGGAUAACAGACGGAAACGACUGAUAAGACCUGGUAAAGUCAGGCGGACUCAUGUCCAGCCUGAUGAAAAGAGAUGCUGCAGGAGAGCCUUGCGUCCUAUUAGCUUGUUGGUGGGGUAACGGCCCACCAAGGCGAUGAUAGGUAGCCGGCCUGAGAGGGUGGACGGCCACAAGGGGACUGGGAUACGGCCCUUACUCCUACGGGAGGCAGCAGUGGGGAAUAUUGGACAAUGGGGGCAACCCUGAUCCAGCAAUUCUGUGUGCACGAUGAAGGUUUUCGGAUUGUAAAGUGCUUUCAGCAGGGAAGAAAAAAAUGACGGUACCUGCAGAAGAAGCGACGGCUAAAUACGUG
rnacentral:rRNA from 1 species